GGAUUUUCACAUCUCAAGCCAGCUAAGAGUAUGGGAAAUAGGACUCGUUAAAGCACAGAUAUCACACAAGUGAUUCAGAUUCACGAGGGUAACCCAGAUGAAGAUACCCCAUCAGCCUGAGUCUCUUAAAGGCCUUUAUACACAUAUGUCUACACAUAGGGAUUUGGAUUAUCUCGGGAUCCCACAUCCUCGCUGUCCCCUGUCCCCCCGCAACAUCCCCCACCAAUACCUUUCUGAAGUUUUCUAGUCCCUCCUUUUUGUUUGUGCUCCUUAAAGCCCAGCCCCAUGCCUGACUUUGGUUCCCAGUGAGCAUUGUACAUUUG
rnacentral:lncRNA from 1 species